UACGUAGGGGGCUAGCGUUGUCCGGAAUCAUUGGGCGUAAAGAGCGUGUAGGCGGCCCGGUAAGUCCGCUGUGAAAGUCGGGGGGCUCAACCCUCGAAUGCCGGUGGAUACUGUCGGGCUAGAGUGCGGAAGAGGCGAGUGGAAUUCCUGGUGUAGCGGUGAAAUGCGCAGAGUAUCAGGAGGAACACCAAUUGGCGAAGGCAGCUCGCUGGGACGUAACUGACGCUGAGAACGCGAAAGCGUGGGGAGCAAACAGGAUUAGAUACCCCGAG
rnacentral:rRNA from 1 species